rnacentral:tRNA from 1 species
GCACCGGUAGCUCAGUCGGUAGAGCGAAGGCCUUUUAAGCCUGAGGUCGCGGGUUCGAGUCCCGCCCGGUGUA